UUCAGCUGGAAGAAUGCUGGAGGAAUACGGAACUCCUCCCAUUUCUCACAGCCACCUCCAACUCUUAAAAACGCUUCCAACUGCCUCCCAGCACACAACCAAGGGAGAAAACUAUUCUGUCAAAGAGACGGUGCCAAAAGGCAAAAACAAAGGAGCUGAUGGCAAAGAAGGUAGCUGUGAUUGGAGCUGGGGUCAGUGGCCUAAUUUCUCUGAAGUGCUGUGUGGAUGAGGGACUUGAGCCCACUUGCUUUGAGAGAACUGAAGAUAUUGGAGGAGUGUGGAGGUUCAAAGAGAAUGUGGAAGAUGGCCGAGCAAGUAUCUAUCAAUCUGUCGUUACCAACACCAGCAAAGAAAUGUCCUGUUUCAGUGACUUUCCAAUGCCUGAAGAUUUUCCAAACUUCCUGCAUAAUUCUAAACUUCUGGAAUAUUUCAGGAUUUUUGCUAAAAAAUUUGAUCUGCUAAAAUAUAUUCAGUUCCAGACAACUGUCCUUAGUGUGAGAAAAUGUCCAGAUUUCUCAUCCUCUGGCCAAUGGAAGGUUGUCACUCAGAGCAACGGCAAGGAGCAGAGUGCUGUCUUUGACGCAGUUAUGGUUUGCAGUGGCCACCACAUUCUACCUCAUAUCCCACUGAAGUCAUUUCCAGGUAUGGAGAGGUUCAAAGGCCAAUAUUUCCAUAGCCGCCAAUACAAGCAUCCAGAUGGAUUUGAGGGAAAACGCAUCCUGGUGAUUGGAAUGGGAAACUCAGGCUCAGAUAUUGCUGUUGAGCUGAGUAAGAAUGCUGCUCAGGUUUUUAUCAGCACCAGGCAUGGCACCUGGGUCAUGAGCCGUAUCUCUGAAGAUGGCUAUCCUUGGGACUCAGUGUUCCACACCCGGUUUCGUUCUAUGCUCCGCAAUGUACUGCCACGAACAGCUGUAAAAUGGAUGAUAGAACAACAGAUGAAUCGGUGGUUCAACCAUGAAAAUUAUGGCCUUGAGCCUCAAAACAAAUACAUUAUGAAGGAACCUGUACUAAAUGAUGAUGUCCCAAGUCGUCUACUCUGUGGAGCCAUCAAGGUGAAAUCUACAGUGAAAGAGCUCACAGAAACUUCUGCCAUCUUUGAGGAUGGAACAGUGGAGGAGAACAUUGAUGUCAUCAUUUUUGCAACAGGAUAUAGUUUCUCUUUUCCCUUCCUUGAAGAUUCACUCGUUAAAGUAGAGAAUAAUAUGGUCUCACUGUAUAAAUACAUAUUCCCCGCUCACCUGGACAAGUCAACCCUCGCGUGCAUUGGUCUCAUCCAGCCCCUAGGUUCCAUUUUCCCAACUGCUGAACUUCAAGCUCGUUGGGUGACAAGAGUUUUCAAAGGCUUGUGUAGCCUGCCCUCAGAGAGAACUAUGAUGAUGGACAUUAUCAAAAGGAAUGAAAAAAGAAUUGACCUGUUUGGAGAAAGCCAGAGCCAGACGUUGCAGACCAAUUAUGUUGACUACUUGGACGAGCUCGCCUUAGAGAUAGGUGCGAAGCCAGAUUUCUGCUCUCUCUUGUUCAAAGAUCCUAAACUGGCUGUGAGACUCUAUUUCGGACCCUGCAACUCCUAUCAGUAUCGCCUGGUUGGGCCUGGGCAAUGGGAAGGAGCCAGAAAUGCCAUCUUCACCCAGAAACAAAGAAUACUGAAGCCACUCAAGACUCGGGCCCUGAAGGAUUCAUCUAAUUUCUCAGUUUCUUUUCUGUUGAAAAUCCUGGGCCUUCUUGCUGUUGUUGUGGCCUUUUUUUGCCAACUUCAAUGGUCCUAGUCAGCAUAAUGCUUUGGGCUUUAUUAUCUUGUCAGUCACUACCUCCUAAAGAAAAAAAAAAAGGCUAGAAGAAAAAACAUUACAUUCAUGUUCUAAUUAUAGAUUUUAGAGUUAGGUAGUACAGGUAAGGGGGAAAUUGUAAAGAAUUAGCAGAAUUAGGCAUAUGUACAAAACCAAAAUUUUGUCAUGAAAUUUUGCCUUUCCACGCUUCCCUCAGUUCACCAAAGUUACCAAAAUGUAAAAUAAAAUAAGACUGGCUCAGGUAAGUAGUGCUGCCAACCCUGAUAUAGGGGAGUUGUAUGGAAAAAUAGUAGAAUUACACAGCAUGAAAAGCAGCCCAUGGUUUAAAUUAUUGGACAAUUUAAAUUGUGGGUAAAUAUUUAAAACUCCUGAACAAUGUUUCUGAUGGUCUUCUAUCCACCCUACUUGGUAACAAAGUUCUCAGAUGUUAGGUCAUGUUUCAUUUGCUCAGUCGGGGAUCACUCAAAACUACUAGACAAAAAAGUGAGAGGAUAGAUUUAGAAAACAUCAGUGAUGCUCAGAUAAACUUUUAGGACCUCAUAUUAAGAGCUAAGCAAAUGGCCACAUUUCCUAUAUUUUGACAGAGAUACUGCUGGAAAAAUUAAAAUUAAAAUGCCAUAAUAGCUACCUAACAAAUAUAUAUGUUUAAUGUUUAUCAUAGGCCAGACAUUGUGCUAUGUGCAUAUCAUAUGUAUUAUUUCAUUUAAUUCUCACAACAAUUCUGUGAAAUGGUUACAGCUAUUAUAGUCAUUUCACAGAUGAUGAAACUAAGAUUCAGAGCAGCUGAUCUUGUGAGGCAGCUGGAAUUGGAACUCAGAUUUGUUGAACUCUAGAACUAAAGAUCAUAAUGUUGUCUUGUAAUAUAUUUAUUUACAAAACACUUCAUUAUUUAUAAAGAAUUUACUAACAGUUUAUCUUAUUUAUACCCAUACAUCUGCUACUUUGGGAGGCCCUUUACAUAGAAAACAGCAUUCUUUUUGCCAAAUAUGACCAAAUUACUUUUAUUUAUAAUUUUUGAUUUAUAUUUCAGCUAGAUCUAAAAAGCAUCUGAAGGAAUUUACAAUGAAAGAUACCUAUGCAAUAACAUUUAGGAUAAUCUUUGACAUUUUGGAAAAAUAAGAAUUGAGGAAAAAAAGUGUAUCUUUCAAGUAGAUGCAAAGCAUUAUAAUGACUGACACUUGUAUCUAACUCCAGUCUUACAGAUAACUAAGGCAAAAAGCUAAAUAAACAAUAUGUAACCUCUAACAUUUGGUAAAAGGAAGUAUACUGGUCUGUUAGCAGAGACAAACUUUUUUUAGAAUUGAAGUCUGAAACAAACAAAAGCAAUUCAAUGUCAAUAGACAUUAAGCAACAUAAUAGACAAACAUCUCCUAAGGGAACAUUUGUUACAGCUGCUCCUUCCCUGAACUGUGCUUUGGAAGAUAAGCUCUGUCCUGAGUCCAAACCAAGCCCUUCCAAGAGAGAACAAAGGUCAGAGAUGUUGAAGAUUCCAGCAAAUUUCUCCUCUUAUUUCUACCAAGCCUUUGUGAACAUUGCUCUUCAUUUUGGCCUGUACUUCUCCCUCAGGGACGUAGAACAAUGGAAUGUCAGUCAGUCUCUGUAGUUAAAACUUUUUCUUUAAAAUUCAAUUAAGGUACUUCUCCCUCAGGGACGUAGAACAAUGGAAUGUCAGUCAGUCUCUGUAGUUAAAACUUUUUCUUUAAAAUUCAAUUAAGUUACACCAGAAUUUACAGGCAAGAUUUUUUUUUUCAUUGCUCCCAUAAGCAAAUUUGUUUUAAAAUAAUUGUAAAUGAGGUAUAUACUUAGUUCUUGGUUAAAAAAUAUAUUGCUUUGUUAAGUAUUAAAGAUUAUUUGUAAGUCAUUGUAUUAAUAAUACUAAUAAAAUUUAUCAAGCCUUUAUAGCAAGGGUCAGUGAAUUACCACUGCCUGUGGGCCAAAUCUAGCUCACUAUCUGUUUUUGUAAAUAAAAUUUUAUAAUAGUACACAGCCACACUCAUUCAUUUAUUUUCUGUGGUUGCUUUCAAGCUACAAUUGUAGAGUUGGGUAGUCGCAACAGAAUCUCUGUGGCCCACAAGGCUAAAAUAUUUACAUUCUCACCCAUUACAGAAAAAGUUUGAUAAUUCCUGCUUUAUAAUAUGUAAGGCAUUGUCCCAUUUUGCAUAACUUGCCUUAUUUCAUCAUUAUCACUACCCAUUUAGUAGCUAUGGUUGUUAUCUUACUUCUACAGUGGAAGAGAUUGAAAAGCAUUUGUCAGGUUAAUGCUAAAUCAGUGCGGAAAUAUAGCUCCACUAGGAAAAUAUUAUUAAAUUUAUAUCCCUAAAAUUUUUAGAAAUCUCUCAAAAUCUUUCCAAAUGUUCUGGUAUCUUUGAAAAAUGUAAAUAGUUUAUUUAUAGAGAACCCUACCUCUGAGGUUGACUCAAAGGUUAAAGAAGGCUCAUCAGUCUAUCCUUCUGCCUCCAUAUAUCCUGAACAUCAAACUAUCCCAGGAAAACCAUCUAGAGUAGUUUGUUUCAAAAUAUUAGCCACAGACCACCUACAUCACAAUAACUCAGGGAGCUUAUAGAAGUGAAGAUUCCUGAAUAUAAACAUAGUAAUAAUUCAACCUACUGAAUGGAAAUCUCUGCUGAAAUCCACAGUUUUCAUAAGCUCCCCAGAUGAUUCCUGUGUACAUUAAAUCUAGAAACCAUUAGUUUGAGAUCUCUCAAAAAUAAAAAUAAAAAUUGCUUUCAGAGAGUAGCCCAUGAAAUUUCCCAUUCUUCAAGGACAAAUUCCUUCUGUUCAGCCUUGGUCCUCCAACUGCAGUUUACAAUUUUUGUUCUUCUCCUGUAAAGAAUGUCAAUGGUUAUCACCUUCAAUAGUUUCAAUAUGUCCCCCAAAGUUAUGUGUUUGAAACUUGCAAUAGUAUUGGGAGAUGGGGCCUAAUGAGGUGAUUAGGUGAAGUCUCUGCCCUCAUGAAAAGAUUAAUCCCAUUAUCUCAGGAGUGUGUUGGUUAUAAAAGCAAGUUUGGCUCCCUCUUUUCCUCACACACUCUUUUUCCCUUCUGCCUUCACCUUUGCCGUGGGUGGACACAGCAAGAAGGCCCUCAUCAGAUGCUGGCCCCUUGGUCUUGAAUUUCCUAGCCUCUACAACUAAGCCAAAUAAAUUUCUGUUUAUUAUAAAUAACCCAGUCUCAGAUAUUCUGUUACAGAAACACAAAAUGGACUAAGACACCACCCUUUUCCAAAAUCUCUCCUUGUGAUGGCUCCCUUUACUAACCUUUCUUUUAGCUAUUCCCUUUAUGAUAGUUUCUUAAUUUUUUCUAUCAAAAGCUAAAUAUGGCACACUUGUUCUUUACAGAAAAAUAAAGAUAUUUUAAACAAAAUACUAGGGCCAUGGUAUGUAAUAAAAUUUGAAACAAUAAUUUCAAAUAAUAAAGAUUGAAAAUGCUUAACCCAGAAA